rnacentral:rRNA from 1 species
CAUGCAAGUCGAGCGAGAAGCUAACUUCGGUUAGUGGAAAGCGGCGCACGGGUGAGUAACGCGCGGGAAUUUACCUUUUGGUGGGGGACAACAGUUGGAAACGACUGCUAAUACCGCAUAUACCCUACGGGGGAAAGAUUUAUCGCCAAAAGAUGGGCCCGCGUUAGAUUAGGUAGUUGGUAGGGUCAAAGCCUACCAAGCCUACGAUCUAUAGCUGGUUUGAGAGAACGAUCAGCCACACUGGAACUGAGACACGGUCCAGACUCCUACGGGAGGCAGCAGUGGGGAAUCUUGCACAAUGGGCGAAAGCCUGAUGCAGCCAUGCCGCGUGAGUGAGAAGGCCUUCGGGUUGUAAAACUCUUUUAGAUGUGAAGAUGAUGACGGUAACAUCAGAAAAAGCCCCGGCUAACUUCGUGCCAGCAGCCGCGGUAAUACGAAGGGGGCUAGCGUUGUUCGGAAUUACUGGGCGUAAAGAGCGUGUAGGCGGCUAGAUAAGUUAGGGGUGAAAUCCCGGAGCUCAACUUCGGAAUUGCCUUUGAUACUGUCUAGCUUGAGAUUGCGAGGGGAUAGCGGAAUACCCAGUGUAGAGGUGAAAUUCGU